UACGUAGGUGGCGAGCGUUAUCCGGAAUUAUUGGGCGUAAAGAGCGCGCAGGUGGUUGAUUAAGUCUGAUGUGAAAGCCCACGGCUUAACCGUGUAGGGUCAUUGGAAACUGGUCAACUUGAGUGCAGAAGAGGGAAGUGGAACUCCAUGUGUAGCGGUGAAAUGCGUAGAGAUAUGGAGGAACACCAGUGGCGAAGGCGGCUUCCUGGUCUGUAACUGACACUGAGGCGCGAAAGCGUGGGGAGCAAACAGGAUUAGAUA
rnacentral:rRNA from 1 species